rnacentral:rRNA from 1 species
ACUCCUACGGGAGGCAGCAGUGGGGAAUUUUGGACAAUGGGCGCAAGCCUGAUCCAGCCAUGCCGCGUGCGGGAAGAAGGCCUUCGGGUUGUAAACCGCUUUUGUCAGGGAAGAAAUCCUUUGGGUUAAUACCUCGGGGGGAUGACGGUACCUGAAGAAUAAGCACCGGCUAACUACGUGCCAGCAGCCGCGGUAAUAC